UACGUAGGGGGCAAGCGUUGUCCGGAAUUAUUGGGCGUAAAGCGCUCGCAGGCGGUCUUUUAAGUCUGAUGUGAAAUCUCGUGGCUCAACCACGAACGGUCAUUGGAAACUGGAGGACUUGAGUACAGAAGAGGAGAGUGGAAUUCCACGUGUAGCGGUGAAAUGCGUAGAGAUGUGGAGGAACACCAGUGGCGAAGGCGACUCUCUGGUCUGUAACUGACGCUGAGGCGCGAAAGCGUGGGGAGCAAACAGG
rnacentral:misc_RNA from 1 species